UAUUAGAAAGAAUACCAAUUGCGAAGGCAGCUUUCUGGAUCAUUACUGACACUGAGGAACGAAAGCAUGGGUAGCGAAGAGGAUUAGAUACCCUCGUAGUCCAUGCCGUAAACGAUGUGUGUUAGACGUUGGAAAUUUAUUUUCAGUGUCGCAGAGAAAUCGAUAAACACACCGCCUGGGGAGUACGACCGCAAGGUUAAAACUCAAAUGAAUUGACGGGGACCCGCACAAGUAGUGGAGCAUGUGGUUUAAUUCGAAGAUACGCGCAGAACCUUACCAACACUUGACAUGUUCGUCGCGACUUUAAGAGAUUAAAGUUUUCGGUUCGGCCGGACGAAACACAGGUGCUGCAUGGCUGUCGUCAGCUCGUGUCGUGAGAUGUUGGGUUAAGUCCCGCAACGAGCGCAACCCUCACUUUUAGUUGCCAUCAUUAAGUUGGGCACUCUGAAAGAACUGCCAGUGAUAAGCUGGAGGAAGGUGGGGAUGACGUCAAGUCCUCAUGGCCCUUACGUGUUGGGCUACACACGUGCUACAAUGGUAUCUACAACAGGAAGCAAAACUGCGAAGUUAAGCAAAUCCUUAAAAGAUACCUCAGUUCGGAUUGCACUCUGCAACUCGAGUGCAUGAAGCUGGAAUUACUAGUAAUCGUGGAUCAGCGUGCCACGGUGAAUGCGUUCCCGGGCCUUGUACACACCGCCCA
rnacentral:rRNA from 1 species